UAUUAUACUAAAAUGUAAUAAUAAUGCUUGAUUAAUGUGAGUUAUAUUCUUUAAAUUUGAAGAAUUUGGCGGUAAUUUAGUCUUUCCAGAGGAACCUGUUUUAUAAUCGAUAAACCACGAAGAAUCUUACUUACUUUAUAAAUUAAAGCUUGUAUACCGUCAUUAUCAGAUAAUAUUUAAAGAUUUAUUAUUAAAUUAUAAAAAGUAAAUGAAAUUAGAUCAAGGUGCAGCUUAUAGGUAAGUUAAUAUGGGUUACAAUUAAGUUAAUAUAAAUAUGAAAUAUAAUUUGAAACAAUUAAAGGAAGGAGGAUUUGGUUGUAAUAUAAAUUAAUAAGAUAUAAAGAUAUAAGCUCUAAAUUAU
rnacentral:rRNA from 1 species